UACGGUGGGAGCAAGCGUUGUUCGGAUUUACUGGGCGUAAAGGGCGCGUAGGCGGCCACUGCAAGUCAGUUGUGAAAUCUCCGGGCUUAACCCGGAAAGGUCAACUGAUACUGCAGGGCUAGAGUGCAGAAGGGGCAACUGGAAUUCUCGGUGUAGCGGUGAAAUGCGUAGAUAUCGAGAGGAACACCUGCGGCGAAGGCGGGUUGCUGGGCUGACACUGACGCUGAGGCGCGAAAGCCAGGGGAGCGAACGGG
rnacentral:rRNA from 1 species